rnacentral:rRNA from 1 species
GUGGGGAAUAUUGCACAAUGGGCGCAAGCCUGAUGCAGCCAUGCCGCGUGUAUGAAGAAGGCCUUCGGGUUGUAAAGUACUUUCAGCGGGGAGGAAGGCGAUAAGGUUAAUAACCUUGUCGAUUGACGUUACCCGCAGAAGAAGCACCGGCUAACUCCGUGCCAGCAGCCGCGGUAAUACGGAGGGUGCAAGCGUUAAUCGGAAUUACUGGGCGUAAAGCGCACGCAGGCGGGCUGUCAAGUCGGAUGUGAAAUCCCCGGGGUCAACCUGGGAACUGCAUUCGAAACUGGCAGGCUAGAGUCUUGUAGAGGGGGGUAGAAUUCCAGGUGUAGCGGUGAAAUGCGUAGAGAUCUGGAGGAAUACCGGUGGCGAAGGCGGCCCCCUGGACAAAGACUGACGCUCAGGUGCGAAAGCGUGGGGAGCAAACAGGAUUAGAAACCCCAGUAGUCC